rnacentral:rRNA from 1 species
UAACGCUAGCGGCGGGCUUAAUACAUGCAAGUCAAGGGGUAGCAAUACACCGGCGUACGGGUGCGUAACGCGUAUGGAACCUGCCCUUAUCUGGGGGAUAACUCGGGGAAACUCGAGCUAAUACCGCAUAAGAUAGUAGAAUGGCAUCAUUCAGCUAUUAAAGAUUUAUCGGAUAAGGAUGGCCAUGCGUAAGAUUAGAUAGUUGGCGAGGUAACGGCUCACCAAGUCUACGAUCUUUAGGGGCUCUGAGAGGAGAAUCCCCCACACUGGCACUGAGAUACGGGCCAGACUCCUACGGGAGGCAGCAGUAGGGAAUAUUGGGCAAUGGGCGGAAGCCUGACCCAGCCACGCCGCGUGCAGGAAGACGGCCC